rnacentral:rRNA from 1 species
ANACUCCGGUGGUAUAAGAUGAGUGUGCGUCUGAUUAGCUAGUUGGUGGGGUAACGGCUCACCAAGGCAACGAUCAGUAGCUGGUCUGAGAGGAUGAUCAGCCACACGGGCACUGAGACACGGGCCCGACUCCUACGGGAGGCAGCAGUAGGGAAUAUUGGACAAUGGGCGCAAGCCUGAUCCAGCCAUCCCGCGUGAAGGAUUAAGGCCCUCUGGGUUGUAAACUUCUUUUCUUUGGGAAUAAAAACUCCGUUUCUACGGAGCUUGAAGGUACCAGAGGAAUAAGCACCGGCUAACUCCGUG